AUGCGCACCAGCUUGUACGCGGUCGACGCAGUAAUCUUCGUCAACCCAGUGCGACAAGAAAUAGACGAGCUCCUCCACAUCCUGCACUGCUUCGGCGAGGCCACUGACCUAAAGGUGAACCAAGCAAAAUCCUCGGUCGUCCCGAUCGCCUGCGACGGAAUCGACCUCGUUAACGUGCUACAAAGUUUCUGUGGAACCAUGGCGGCGCUGCCCAUCACAUACUUAGGCAUCCCGAUCACCACCGGCAAGCUUAGACUAGUGCACCUGCAGUUGAUCUUAGAUAGGAUUCGAGCACGGCUAGCGGGCAGGAAGGGCAGGCUGCUACCAAUCGCGGGCCGGCGCGUGCUG
rnacentral:rRNA from 1 species